rnacentral:rRNA from 1 species
GACGAACCGUGCGAACGUUAUUCGGAAUCACUGGGCUUAAAGGGCGCGUAGGCGGGCUCGCAGGUCAGGGGUGAAAGCCCACGGCUCAACCGUGGAAGUGCCUUUGAUACCGUGAGUCUCGAGGAAGGUAGGGGUGCGCGGAACUUCUGGUGGAGCGGUGAAAUGCGUUGAUAUCAGAAGGAACGCCGGCGGCGAAAGCGGCGCACUGGACCUUUUCUGACGCUGAGGCGCGAAAGCUAGGGGAGCAAACGGG